rnacentral:rRNA from 1 species
AUGAAGGAACACUUUGAUGCUCGCAACGUGAGUGGAAUUGACCGCUCCAACCGAUCACUUAGGUCCCGAUGGUCGACAAUCAACUUGGAUUGUCAAAGGUGGGCGGCCUGUCAAAAGGCGGUUGACAAGUUGAACCCAAGUGGCACAAAUGAGGACGAUAGAGUAAGUGCCAUUUCAUCUUACAUGUUGGUGCUAACUUGCUUUGUCUUGCUUGUUGUUGGUGCUAACUUGCUUUGUUUUCAUGUAGUACAACAUUGCGCAAAACUUGUUCAAAGAAGAGGAGAGGAAAACCAAGAAGGGGAAGAUCAAGAAAGGAAGGGUAUU